CUUAACCCUAUUCCUUGUGCAUGAGGUGAAGAGUUCACGUGCGAAGGUUGGUGCAAAACCUUUCUUAUUUGGGUUUUCUUGUUGGACAAGGACUCCUAACCAAUUUGGACAUUGAACAGAUAUGGGAUACCACAUCUAUAAAAGGAAGGACCCUAUUACACGAUAUAUUAGUGAUUGUUUUGUGUGAAAAAAUAACAACUAAACUACCA
rnacentral:lncRNA from 1 species